rnacentral:lncRNA from 1 species
CUCAGACUUUCCAACCUUCGCUCUGAGGAAGACUAGCUCUCUGACGAAUAUAUUAGGGGAUCAUUCUCCUCAUAUUUCCGUAUUCCUCUGUUUUUCCAUCGAACCAGAGGAGUGUCAGAAGGGCCUCCGACGGUACUCUUCUUGUUACAGUGAACUUCUAACGUCAGUAACCGCGUCUUCACAAACUGUUAAAUAAAAGCUUUUCUGGAACCCGUCUGGUCUUUCCCUAUCAACAGGUACUCAUGAGAGUCACAGUCGACCUCUGCGCGGACGCUGCACACAGGUGGUCACUUUGUGGCACACACUUCUUCAGAUAUCUUAUGCGAAGUCCAGAUUCCAUCAUUGAUCUCUCCUUCGUGCUCUUAUCCAUCUCAAACCAUGGUUCCUGCGAGUCAUCAGUCUGGCUCUCCUGGGCGACCGAGCCACGGCAUGAUGGGACCAUCUGUUUUUCACAAGAGACUCCCGUGCCGACGGUUUCAGCGCGUGAACCACAAGAAGAGUCCCCAACGCGCACAUCUACUUUCUUUCCAUGUUUUUAUCACUAUGGUGGUUCUUUCUUUUCUGGUGCUUGCCGAUUUCUCCCCAAAGUGGGCCUUCACAGCUGGGUCCGGCGUCACCGAGCGUAGAGGGUCUGUUCACGUCAAAGAGGGCGACUCCGUGCCUUUCGAAACGAACGCAGCGCGAACAAAGCAAUAUUUCACGCCAAUACGCUGGAGAAGUCGCCGUCGGAAUAAGCCGUUAGCGAUGAUAUUCUUGGCUUCUCUGGCUGCACUCGGUGGCGUUGCUGUUGCCUUGCUGACAGAGAAACAAACCAAGCCCAAGACAGGAGAACCGAAGCCAUUGCCCGUUGGUCCUCGUGAGACAUACAACUAUUCACAAAUUGCUUGACGGAUGUGUCAGCGCAGGAAUAAAAAACUCGGCUGAAGAGUGUACCCAACGGUGCGGCAGAGGUGGAUCUGCGGGAUCCUGCAGUAUUCAUGACGUUUCGAGC